rnacentral:rRNA from 1 species
CCCUUAGAUGUUCUGGGCCGCACGCGCGCUACACUGAUGCAUUCAACGAGCCUAUCCUUGACCGACAGGUCCGGGUAAUCUUUGAAUCUGCAUCGUGACGGGGCUAGAUUAUUGCAAUUAUUAAUCUUCAACGAGGAAUGCCUAGUAAGCGUGAUUCAUCAAAUCGCGUUGAUUACGUCCCUGCCCUUUGUACACACCGCCCGUCGCUCCUACCGAUUGAAUGUGUUGGUGAGGAGCUCGGAUUGGCAGCAGUUGGUGGUUCGCCACCGGCUAUUGCUGAGAAGUCCUCCAAACCGCCCCAUUUAGAGGAAGGAGAAGUCGUAACA